GGGUUGUGAGGUUAAGCGACUAAGCGUACACGGUGGAUGCCCUGGCAGUCAGAGGCGAUGAAGGACGUGCUAAUCUGCGAUAAGCGUCGGUAAGGUGAUAUGAACCGUUAUAACCGGCGAUUUCCGAAUGGGGAAACCCAGUGUGAUUCGUCACACUAUCAUUAACUGAAUCCAUAGGUUAAUGAGGCGAACCGGGGGAACUGAAACAUCUAAGUACCCCGAGGAAAAGAAAUCAACCGAGAUUCCCCCAGUAGCGGCGAGCGAACGGGGAGGAGCCCAGAGCCUGAAUCAGUGUGUGUGUUAGUGGAAGCGUCUGGAAAGGCGCGCGAUACAGGGUGACAGCCCCGUACACAAAAAUGCACAUGCUGUGAGCUCGAUGAGUAGGGCGGGACACGUGGUAUCCUGUCUGAAUAUGGGGGGACCAUCCUCCAAGGCUAAAUACUCCUGACUGACCGAUAGUGAACCAGUACCGUGAGGGAAAGGCGAAAAGAACCCCGGCGAGGGGAGUGAAAAAGAACCUGAAACCGUGUACGUACAAGCAGUGGGAGCACGCUUAGGCGUGUGACUGCGUACCUUUUGUAUAAUGGGUCAGCGACUUAUAUUCUGUAGCAAGGUUAACCGAAUAGGGGAGCCGAAGGGAAACCGAGUCUUAACUGGGCGUUAAGUUGCAGGGUAUAGACCCGAAACCCGGUGAUCUAGCCAUGGGCAGGUUGAAGGUUGGGUAACACUAACUGGAGGACCGAACCGACUAAUGUUGAAAAAUUAGCGGAUGACUUGUGGCUGGGGGUGAAAGGCCAAUCAAACCGGGAGAUAGCUGGUUCUCCCCGAAAGCUAUUUAGGUAGCGCCUCGUGAAUUCAUCUCCGGGGGUAGAGCACUGUUUCGGCAAGGGGGUCAUCCCGACUUACCAACCCGAUGCAAACUGCGAAUACCGGAGAAUGUUAUCACGGGAGACACACGGCGGGUGCUAACGUCCGUCGUGAAGAGGGAAACAACCCAGACCGCCAGCUAAGGUCCCAAAGUCAUGGUUAAGUGGGAAACGAUGUGGGAAGGCCCAGACAGCCAGGAUGUUGGCUUAGAAGCAGCCAUCAUUUAAAGAAAGCGUAAUAGCUCACUGGUCGAGUCGGCCUGCGCGGAAGAUGUAACGGGGCUAAACCAUGCACCGAAGCUGCGGCAGCGACGCUGAUGCGUUGUUGGGUAGGGGAGCGUUCUGUAAGCCUGCGAAGGUGUGCUGUGAGGCAUGCUGGAGGUAUCAGAAGUGCGAAUGCUGACAUAAGUAACGAUAAAGCGGGUGAAAAGCCCGCUCGCCGGAAGACCAAGGGUUCCUGUCCAACGUUAAUCGGGGCAGGGUGAGUCGACCCCUAAGGCGAGGCCGAAAGGCGUAGUCGAUGGGAAACAGGUUAAUAUUCCUGUACUUGGUGUUACUGCGAAGGGGGGACGGAGAAGGCUAUGUUGGCCGGGCGACGGUUGUCCCGGUUUAAGCGUGUAGGCUGGUUUUCCAGGCAAAUCCGGAAAAUCAAGGCUGAGGCGUGAUGACGAGGCACUACGGUGCUGAAGCAACAAAUGCCCUGCUUCCAGGAAAAGCCUCUAAGCAUCAGGUAACAUCAAAUCGUACCCCAAACCGACACAGGUGGUCAGGUAGAGAAUACCAAGGCGCUUGAGAGAACUCGGGUGAAGGAACUAGGCAAAAUGGUGCCGUAACUUCGGGAGAAGGCACGCUGAUAUGUAGGUGAAGCGACUUGCUCGUGGAGCUGAAAUCAGUCGAAGAUACCAGCUGGCUGCAACUGUUUAUUAAAAACACAGCACUGUGCAAACACGAAAGUGGACGUAUACGGUGUGACGCCUGCCCGGUGCCGGAAGGUUAAUUGAUGGGGUUAGCGCAAGCGAAGCUCUUGAUCGAAGCCCCGGUAAACGGCGGCCGUAACUAUAACGGUCCUAAGGUAGCGAAAUUCCUUGUCGGGUAAGUUCCGACCUGCACGAAUGGCGUAAUGAUGGCCAGGCUGUCUCCACCCGAGACUCAGUGAAAUUGAACUCGCUGUGAAGAUGCAGUGUACCCGCGGCAAGACGGAAAGACCCCGUGAACCUUUACUAUAGCUUGACACUGAACAUUGAGCCUUGAUGUGUAGGAUAGGUGGGAGGCUUUGAAGUGUGGACGCCAGUCUGCAUGGAGCCGACCUUGAAAUACCACCCUUUAAUGUUUGAUGUUCUAACGUGGACCCGUAAUCCGGGUUGCGGACAGUGUCUGGUGGGUAGUUUGACUGGGGCGGUCUCCUCCUAAAGAGUAACGGAGGAGCACGAAGGUUGGCUAAUCCUGGUCGGACAUCAGGAGGUUAGUGCAAUGGCAUAAGCCAGCUUGACUGCGAGCGUGACGGCGCGAGCAGGUGCGAAAGCAGGUCAUAGUGAUCCGGUGGUUCUGAAUGGAAGGGCCAUCGCUCAACGGAUAAAAGGUACUCCGGGGAUAACAGGCUGAUACCGCCCAAGAGUUCAUAUCGACGGCGGUGUUUGGCACCUCGAUGUCGGCUCAUCACAUCCUGGGGCUGAAGUAGGUCCCAAGGGUAUGGCUGUUCGCCAUUUAAAGUGGUACGCGAGCUGGGUUUAGAACGUCGUGAGACAGUUCGGUCCCUAUCUGCCGUGGGCGCUGGAGAACUGAGGGGGGCUGCUCCUAGUACGAGAGGACCGGAGUGGACGCAUCACUGGUGUUCGGGUUGUCAUGCCAAUGGCACUGCCCGGUAGCUAAAUGCGGAAGAGAUAAGUGCUGAAAGCAUCUAAGCACGAAACUUGCCCCGAGAUGAGUUCUCCCUGACUCCUUGAGAGUCCUGAAGGAACGUUGAAGACGACGACGUUGAUAGGCCGGGUGUGUAAGCGCAGCGAUGCGUUGAGCUAACCGGUACUAAUGAACCGUGAGGCUUAACCUUACAACGCCGAAG
rnacentral:rRNA from 1 species